rnacentral:rRNA from 1 species
AUUGAACGCUGGCGGCAGGCCUAACACAUGCAAGUCGAGCGGAGCGGCGGACGGGUGAGUAAUGCCUAGGAAUCUGCCUGGUAGUGGGGGAUAACGUCCGGAAACGGGCGCUAAUACCGCAUACUAUCAGAUGAGCCUAGGUCGGAUUAGCUAGUUGGUGGGGUAAAGGCCUACCAAGGCGACGAUCCGUAACUGGUCUGAGAGGAUGAUCAGUCAAACUGGAACUGUGACACGGCCCAGACUCCUACGGUAGGCAGCCGUGGGGAAUCGUGGACAAUGGGCGAAAGCCUGCUCCAGCCAUGCCGCGUGUGUGAAGAAGGUCUUCGUAUUGUAAAGCACUUUAAGUUGGGAGGCGUUACCAACAGAAUAAGCACCGGCUAACUUCGUGCCAGCCGCCGCGGUAAUUC